rnacentral:lncRNA from 1 species
CCGCCAUCUUGGUAAAGGACGGGGACACCGCCCAGCCGCCCGCCCACCAUCUUGGCAAAGGGUCUGGGUAGCGGGUCGCCGAAGUCGUUGUUCCUCUCCCCGAAGGGUGAACGCUGCUCCGUGCGUUGUCCAAUAUGAAAGGAAAGAACUAGGCUUUUGGCAAGCCGCCUGUCCGGAGCCCGUCUACACGGGCAGCCUCCAGACCGUUUUGGGCCGCCAUCUUGGCAAAGGAAGCGACGCUCCCCGCCGCGGGAAAACGGGAACCAAAGCGUUUGCCAAAGUAGAAGCGUCAGCCAGUAGAGUUUUUAUGAAGGGCGCUCAACAGUCCAGUUGUUAACCAAAGCUCCUUCUGGAUCCAGAAGCGAUGCCUCCUCUUUGCCUUUUCUUUGGAGCAAGUCAACUAGGAGGAGGCCCUUGCCUUGGAUGCUCAUAGUGGACCCUAAACCCAGUUUUGCUGAAUCCACCUUAUGUUAACUGUGCUAUAAAUUCCAGAGGAGUGGUUUACAUAUGAGCUGGGAAGACUCACCUGCGUGGAUCAUUUAGGGACACCACAUUGCCUUGGAUGACCAACCUCCACCCUAUGAGGGUACCUGAAGCAGCAUAGUGGUUAAGAAUAUGACCUCUGGGGCCAGAACGCCUGGAUUUGAACCUGACUCUGCCACUUGUUGCCUAUGUGACCCUCAUAAGCCUUGUACCCUCUGUGCCCCCGAUUCCUUAUCUGUAAAAUGAGGGAAGACAAUAGUACCUGCCUCACAGGACUGUUGGGAGGCUUAACUGAGUUCUUACAUAUAAAGCACUUAGAACAUAGCCUGGCACAUAACAAGCAAUAAAUGAAUAUUAGUUGUUUCUCUUACUGUUCGUUCUUAUUUUUCA